GUGGGGAAUAUUGCACAAUGGGCGAAAGCCUGAUGCAGCGACGCCGCGUGAGGGAUGACGGCCUUCGGGUUGUAAACCUCUUUCAGUAGGGAAGAAGCGAAAGUGACGGUACCUGCAGAAGAAGCACCGGCUAACUACGUGCCAGCAGCCGCGGUAAUACGUAGGGUGCGAGCGUUAUCCGGAAUUAUUGGGCGUAAAGAGCUCGUAGGCGGUUUGUCGCGUCUGUCGUGAAAGUCCGGGGCUUAACCCCGGAUCUGCGGUGGGUACGGGCAGACUAGAGUGCAGUAGGGGAGACUGGAAUUCCUGGUGUAGCGGUGGAAUGCGCAGAUAUCAGGAGGAACACCGAUGGCGAAGGCAGGUCUCUGGGCUGUAACUGACGCUGAGGAGCGAAAGCAUGGGGAGCGAACAGGAUUAGAUACCCUAGUAGUCC
rnacentral:rRNA from 1 species